CUGCUCACUUAAGCAGCACAUAUACUAAUAUUAAAACAAUACAGAGAAGAUUAGCAUGGCGCCUAUGCAAGGAUAACAUGCAAAUUGGUGAAGUGUUCCAUAUUUUU
ensembl:snRNA U6 U6 spliceosomal RNA